rnacentral:rRNA from 1 species
UACGUAGGGUGCGAGCGUUAAUCGGAAUUACUGGGCGUAAAGCGUGCGCAGGCGGUUCGUUGUGUCGGUGGUGAAAUCCCCGGGCUUAACCUGGGAAUGGCCAUGGAAACUGGCGAACUGGAGUGCGGCAGAGGGGGGUGGAAUUCCGCGUGUAGCAGUGAAAUGCGUAGAGAUGCGGAGGAACACCGGUGGCGAAGGCGGGUCUCUGGGCAGUAACUGACGCUGAGGAGCGAAAGCGUGGGGAGCGAACAGG